AUGGUAGGGCAAGCGUUUGGAGUAGGGACAGGGGCAGCAAUGUGGCACUGGAAUUCCUGGUAAGAAAGGGCAGCAUGGGUGGGCUGUGGUGUUGGAGCUGGACACUGUGCUUGGGGAAGAAUUGGGUGCCAUUGCUUGUGCAAUUUGAGCUGCAUGGGCCACAGCUAGGGCAAGAAUUGCCACAGCAUGGUUGGACAACUUAUGUUUGUGUAUUGAUCACUGGACCAUUUCUUGGAGUAGGGGAACAUUGUGGAGGUUCACUUUGGCUGCCUGGAUCGCAACGAAAAUGGUGAGGGCAGUUGUCUUGGGCAUGGAGGCCAUGCAUGUUAUAGAUGCCGCAAAUGGGCUGGUACUUAACUGGUGCUUGUGCAUUCGGACACUUGGCAGCAAUGUGGCUGGGCUGUUGGCAUGGCUGAGCUGAGGAUAAUAUCUAUAUCCCUUGCAACAAGUAUUAGAUGUUCUCAUGGUCAAUAAUAGGCUGAGGUGGUGUAUGGAUUCCUCAAAUCCAGUUAGUUGAAGCUCGAACAUUUUUUGGCAAGUGUUUCCAAGUUUUCAUAUACUUUGGAGAUUUCUUAUGAUUGUGGCAGAGUUGAAGAGGAAGUGGCCAUGAUAGGAAGUACAUGCUGUUAGAGGUGGCUGUAAUUGAUGAUUCCAGGAAAAGGGACAAAAAGGUUAGCAGGAUCACCAGAGGACCACCAUGGAGUAGAAAGGCUGCUAAAAGCAAGCCAUGCUCAUGCAAGCUUGCUCCCAAUUGGAAGUUGUAG